UCAUCAAACUGUCAAAGUCCUGAGACGACUGACAGAACAGUCUUUCUUUUGCUGUCGAGACGCUGUCCGAGAAGGUAAAAUUUAGUCAUUGCUGGUACUUUCUUACGUGACAUUGUUGAUCAUAGACAUGGAUUUCUUGGUUAGUUUGAUGUUGGAGCUGCCAAUGGUGUUGAUGCAGCGUUCAUGGUGUGAGCAGUGGUUUUGCAGUCAUUUUCCAGUCGAGAUGUCUUGAGGGCGCGUUUUCGCAAUGGAGCUUGUCAAAAUGGAAUUUUCGCAAAUGGAGCUUGUGCAGACAUUCACUUCAACAUCAUAUUUCAAUGUGAUAUUUACGUAAUGUUGAUGUUCUUGCAGUGUUGAAUGGUUGUGCAAAAUAGUUGAUGUUGCCUGGUGGCUGUCGGACAUGUUUUAUCGGCUGCCUUUUGUCGAUGUGUCGUGUCGUCUCUUGCCACCUGUACGCACGUUAAGAUAAAUCGUACGCCGCCGUUCCAGACUUGAUCCAUUGGUGAAGCCGAAAGAGGUUGCUGAAAUUCAAGACUGAAAAAUAAAUUAGACUGGACAAUUUACAAAUGCAUAUAUGUUGUCCCUUUUCCCUGAGUAAACAGCAUGUCCGCCGUUGGUUAUUCGUCUGGUCGAAAGGGAAAUAGCAAUGAGAAGUUCUGAUGUAUUUUUGGAGAAAGAUUUGUUUGAUCACGAAGUAAUUCUCCCUUGUGUUUCGCGAUCAACUGUACCACCUUUUAUAUAUAACAUUUCAGGCUCUUCACAUGUAUAUGACCAAUAUCAAUAUUAUUACUUCGCUAACAAUAAAAUAUGAAAUCAAA